GUGAUUGAUGUUUGAUACUUAUUCCCUGCCAACGAACUGCUGUCCAGACAAUCUGAUAUGGGUUUGACAGGAAACAUACUUUUGUUUGUGUGGAUGCUCAUACUAUACAUUGCAAGAACACAACACGUUCACCGCGUCAGUCGUUACAGGCGGAUCCGUACCUGGCACAACAGCCAUCAUCAGCCCCCGGUCGCACAGACCCGUCACAAUGGCUACCUUCGCAGGAGGUAUCACCGCCCCGUGCACAUCUCUAUUCUGGAGGAACACCACAACAAGUCCCCCACUGCUGCUGUGGCUGCUCUUGGCGUGUGAUGAGUGCGUCGAGUCAAGUCACCUAUGCUGAUGAAUACACUAGUCUAGUUCCUCUGUUAGCUGGUAGUUGCUGCCCAUCUGCCCGAGUGUCGUAAGCUUAAAUUGCGCCUGAACUGCCUCGUAUAUAUGUCUCUAUAAUAACAUAGCGUCCUUUGUUAUUAGUAUCUGUACUCUUGAUUCGUCGAUGCCACCAGAGACCAUAUAAUAAUAAUCUAUUAUAUGGUCUCUGAUGCCACGUGCUGACAGGACUAACUUCCACCAGUCUUGGAAGAUGUUCCUGGCACCUUGCAAACUUCACACCGCGAGCAUUGUUCCCGUCCGGAAUAGCCGUUCCCGAUACACCCUACAACACUUUUUACGUCUCAAUACGUUUACACCAAACUCAAACUGUAUUACUCAUUUCUUUUAACCAAAAGAGAAUUUGUGUAGUAAAGCUACUGUAGAACUCAAGUCAAGAGCCAUCAAGAUGGAACAUUAUGUGUGCUUCUCUGUAUUUGGUGUUCAUAUGUGACAAGUUACCUGCAGUGUAAUGUGCAAAAUUUAAUUUAAAAUGUAAAAUCAUUCACAUCCAGCUGCUGGCGCCAGUGACAUCAAGUAGCUCAUAGAGUCAGGGCAGAGCUACAUAAUUUUGUUGUUGCUAUAUUUCAGCUAUAUCACAGUUGCUGAUAAAACCAUCCAUGUCCAUGUCGUGAGUAAUGCCCCAUCGGGGUAUCAUGACAUGCAUUAAAUCAAGUCACUGAGCCAGACCACCCAAUAGAUUUUAGGGAAAACCUAGGUUACCAAUAAUGUAGCAUUUGAAUGCUGAUGGUUUGUGACUUUUGUUUUACAUUUCAAUUGUUUUUCGGAUAAUGUGAAAUUGUUUUUUGAAGCUGCAUGGCAGUCUCCAUUAAUGAUGUUAGCGAUUGCGGCACAACAUACUGACAUUGACGUCUGUUUUAGUAAGAAAAUGUGCUUGUAUGAUAUGUUUUUAAGUGUAUGUAUACUCCUAUCAAAAACAGUAUCAAACAGCAACCAGAACUCAUGUUGUAGUCUGUAUGUAGGUUUCUGUUAUUUCAGUCUCAGGAAUGGAUGGAGUGCUAGUUUUGAAAACUGAACGGCAGUUUUUAUCACAGGAUGUUGCUCACACAAAGCCAUGGAAAGUAUAUCUGAGUUUGUUUACAUACAAUUGCUUUAUUGCCGAAUGAAUUUUUUCCUCAG